rnacentral:rRNA from 1 species
AUGAACGCUAGCGGGAGGCCUAACACAUGCAAGCCGAGCGGUAGAGAUCUUUCGGGAUCUUGAGAGCGGCGUACGGGUGCGGAACACGUGUGCAACCUGCCUUUAUCAGGGGGAUAGCCUUUCGAAAGGAAGAUUAAUACCCCAUAAUAUAAGAAACGGCAUCGUUUUUUAUUGAAAACUCCGGUGGAUAGAGAUGGGCACGCGCAAGAUUAGAUAGUUGGUGAGGUAACGGCUCACCAAGUCUACGAUCUUUAGGGGGCCUGAGAGGGUGAUCCCCCACACUGGUACUGAGACACGGACCAGACUCCUACGGGAGGCAGCAGUGAGGAAUAUUGGACAAUGGGUGGGAGCCUGAUCCAGCCAUCCCGCGUGAAGGACGACGGCCCUAUGGGUUGUAAACUUCUUUUGCAUAGGGAUAAACCUACCCUCGUGAGGGUAGCUGAAGGUACUAUACGAAUAAGCACCGGCUAACUCCGUGCCAGCCGCCCGGUAACAC